UGAGGAAUAUUGGUCAAUGGGUGCAAGCCUGAACCAGCCAUCCCGCGUGAAGGACGACUGCCCUAUGGGUUGUAAACUUCUUUUGUAUAGGGAUAAACCUACCCUCGUGAGGGUAGCUGAAGGUACUAUACGAAUAAGCACCGGCUAACUCCGUGCCAGCAGCCGCGGUAAUACGGAGGGUGCAAGCGUUAUCCGGAUUUAUUGGUUUAAAGGGUCCGUAGGCGGACUUAUAAGUCAGUGGUGAAAGCCUGUUCGCUUAACGAUAGAACUGCCAUUGAUACUGUAAGUCUUGAGUAUAUUUGAGGUAGGCUGGAAUAAGUAGUGUAGCGGUGAAAUGCAUAGAUAUUACUUAGAACACCAAUU
rnacentral:rRNA from 1 species